rnacentral:rRNA from 1 species
CCUACGGGGCGCUGCAGUGGGGAAUAUUGGACAAUGGGCGAAAGCCUGAUCCAGCCAUGCCGCGUGUGUGAAGAAGGCCUUCGGGUUGUAAAGCACUUUCAGUGGGGAAGAAAGCCUUGGGGCCAAUACCCUCGAGGAAGGACAUCACCCACAGAAGAAGCACCGGCUAACUCCGUGCCAGCAGCCGCGGUAAUACGGAGGGUGCGAGCGUUAAUCGGAAUUACUGGGCGUAAAGCGCGCGUAGGCGGUCUGAUAAGCCGGUUGUGAAAGCCCCGGGCUCAACCUGGGAACGGCAUCCGGAACUGUCAGGCUAGAGUGCAGGAGAGGAAGGUAGAAUUCCCGGUGUAGCGGUGAAAUGCGUAGAGAUCGGGAGGAAUACCAGUGGCGAAGGCGGCCUUCUGGACUGACACUGACGCUGAGGUGCGAAAGCGUGGGUAGCAAACAGGAUUAGAUACCCGGGUAGUC